GAUGAAGAACGUAGCGAAAUGCGAUAAGUAGUGUGAAUUGCAGAAUUCAGUGAAUCAUCGAAUCUUUGAACGCACAUUGCGCCCGAAGCCAUUAGGCCGAGGGCACGCCUGCCUGGGUGUCACACACCGUUACCCUCGCGCCAACGUCCAUCGUUGGCCGCGGCGCGGGGCGUGCGCUGACCUCCCGCGAGCGGGGUCUCGUGGUUGGUUGAAAAUCGAGUUCGCGGUCGAGGGUGCCGUGAUGAAAUGGUGGAUGGGCGACGCCCGAGGCCAAUCACGCGCGACUCUGUCCGGCUCGGACUCCUGGACCCCUUCGGCGUCUCCGGACGCUCUUUGGCGAGACCUCAGGUCAGGCGGGGCUACCCGCUGAGUUUAAGCAUAUCAAUAAGCGGAGGA
rnacentral:misc_RNA from 1 species